GGAAUAGACAUUGAAUGGACGUCUGUGCCCAGUGGGUUUUAAAGGGCAUUUCAUUUAAUAUAACAGGCUUUUAAAAUUCAAUAUUUGCACACUAUUUCUACUUAAAAUAAUCAUAGGGCACUCAUUUCAUGGAACGACCCUUGGACUGGCUAGAAUGUUUAGAAUAGGUUAUCAGUAAAACGUCACAAUAAGGUGCAGAGCGUUUGGUGUCGUCACCUCUGGAAGAGCAUAGAAAUACAAAUGUCAGAUAUUUCCACAUUCUGCUGUAUCAGUUAUACAGCAGUAACUGCAUGCUGUUCAUGGCCAUUUCAGAUACGUAGCCUGACGAUCUCUCUCAAUAUUGGCCACCAUUGAUUGGAUAUUUGAGUGAUAUAAAAGUAAACUAUACCCGACAAGAAUGAGUGGUUUAGGUUCAUUUCCUGUCCUUUGUGGGCUCUUCCUGUCAAGCAGCAGAAGGGCUCAUUUUACCAAUGUAGUUAGCUGAUAAUAUUUACAAGCUACCGGUAUAAACUUGUUACAGGCUAAACAGAGGUAAAUAGACCUACUGUACUUCUUUCUCCAACCAACGUAGGCCUACCUAGCAAAGUUAGCUAACAUUAUCCACUUCUCAACAUUGUUUUUUUUAAGUGUUUAGUCACUAUUGCUGCUGACAGAAAUUAUAGAUGGGCUUCAUUGAUUGAUGGAUCACGUCAAAUUGGCUAGCUAGCUAAUAACAGAUCGGGUCAAUAUGGGCUGGUUAACGAGCUAACUUCCUGGGGAUAAACUUGAACUUGAUUAGCUUGCCAUCUAUAGUGGUGAUGACAGAAGUCCAACUGACCACUUCACCAGGACGAGGACUUGCUGAUGUCAAGGUCUUUCCAAAAGCCUCAUCUCUGAUGAAGCCAACUAAAUGAAAGGUUUGCUUAGUUAGCUACAUGCCAAAUGGAUAGGCCACCCUCAGGUAUCUGAAACUACAUGAUCAACUGAUGUUACUGAUCAUGAACAGCAUGUAGUUACUUACCGUAUAACUCAGAGCUAAAUGUGGAAUAAUCAGACGGGUAGUUCUGACUAUGCGUUGGGGCGGGUGGUAGCCUAGUGGUUAGAGCAGCAGGUAGCCUAGUGGUUAGAGCGUUGGGGCGGGUGGUAGCCUAGUGGUUAGAGCGUUGGGGCGGGUGGUAGCCUAGUGGUUAGAGCAGCAGGUAGCCUAGUGGUUAGAGCAGCAGGUAGCCUAGUGGUUAGAGCAGCAGGUAGCCUAGUGGUUAGAGCAGCAGGUAGCCUAGUGGUUAGAGCAGCAGGUAGCCUAGUGGUUAGAGGAGCAGGUAGCCUAGUGGUUAGAGCGGCAGGUAGCCUAGUGGUUAGAGCAGCAGGUAGCCUAGUGGUUAGAGGAGCAGGUAGCCUAGUGGUUAGAGGGGCAGGUAGCCUAGUGGUUAGAGGGGCAGGUAGCCUAGUGGUUAGAGGGGCAGGUAGCCUAGUGGUUAGAGGGGCAGGUAGCCUAGUGGUUAGAGAGACAGGUAGCCUAGUGGUUAGAGAGGCAGGUAGCCUAGUGGUUAGAGCGUUGGGGCGGGUGGUAGCCUAGUGGUUAGAGCGGCAGGUAGCCUAGUGGUUAGAGCGGCAGGUAGCCUAGUGGUUAGAGGGGCAGGUAGCCUAGUGGUUAGAGCAGCAGGUAGCCUAGUGGUUAGAGGGGCAGGUAGCCUAGUGGUUAGAGUGUAGGGGAGGCAGGUAGCCUAGUGGUUAGAGCGGCAGGUAGCCUAGUGGUUAGAGCGGCAGGUAGCCUAGUGGUUAGAGCGGCAGGUAGCCUAGUGGUUAGAGCGUUGGGGCGGGUGGUAGCCUAGUGGUUAGAGCAGCAGGUAGCCUAGUGGUUAGAGCGGCAGGUAGCCUAGUGGUUAGAGCGGCAGGUAGCCUAGUGGUUAGAGCGUUGGGGCGGGUGGUAGCCUAGUGGUUAGAGCAGCAGGUAGCCUAGUGGUUAGAGCGUUGGGGCGGGUGGUAGCCUAGUGGUUAGAGCAGCAGGUAGCCUAGUGGUUAGAGCGUUGGGGCGGGAGGUAGCCUAGUGGUUAGAGCGUUGGGGCGGGUAGUAGCCUAGCGGUUAGAGCAGCAGGUAGCCUUGUGGUUAGAGCGUUGGGGAGGCAGGUAGCCUUGUGGUUAGAGCAUUGGGGCGGCACGUAGCCUUGUGGUUAGAGCAUUGGGGCGGCAGGUAGCCUUGUGGUUAGAGCAUUGGGGCGGCAGGUAGCCUUGUGGUUAGAGCGUUGGGCCAGUAACCGAAAGGUUGCUAGAUUGAAUCCCCGAGCUGACAAGGUAAAAAUCUGUCCUUCUGCUCCUGAACAAGGCAGUUAACCCACUGUUCCUAGGCCGUCAUUGUAAAUAAGAAUUUGUUCUUAACCGACUUGCCUAGUUAAAUAAAGGUCUUAAAAAAUGUUUUAACAAUCCCUUGAAAACGGCACGCAGUUGUCAAUGGUUUUAGCAGAGCUGACGGUCUUCUUGCUCUACAGCAGCCAAAUGAAACGCUCUGCACCCUGUUGUGACGUCUUAUUGAUAACGACCUAUGGGGACAAACAUCUGGAACAGAUCAUUAGGAUUCUCAGGUUCCAAAUAUAUGAAAUGUCAUGUUGGCUCAUACACAUCCAGAGGCUGCUACAGCCUCUCCUCAUGUAAUGCAUGUCAAUCCCUGGAGUCAAAGACAUGCUGGUUGAGUUGGAAAGAAAGCGUUAUGUUUCUAAUUUCUUAAUGUCGUAAAUUAAACUGUAAUAUUAUACAAAAUGAUAAGAACUGUAUUAUAAUGAGCGAACUGAAUCUAAGUUAAUCUAUGUUCAUGUUUUAGUUCUAGUCCAUGUGAAUUGUUCAAUAUGUGUAUGUCUCAGCAAAGAUAAAACUAUGUGAGUUUACAUAUGGCUUAAAAAUAAAUGUCAAUUUCUUUCUAUUUUCCAUAAAUGUAUAAAUAUAGACAUGAAUUGUUCCUUAGUUUUGGUGUUUGCCUGUAACAUCUAGUAGAUGUAGCAACAUUGCUAUUUAUUGCAGAGAUGAAAUUAUUAGACUGUUUAUUUGCUUUAUCUUGUUUCUAGUUAUUGUUCUGUAAGAUAUGUUAUGUGCAUUGUGUAACUAAAAUGUUCAUUUAAAACUAUUUACUUUAAUAGGGAAUUAUUUAUGUAAAAAUUGUUUGUAAAAUCUAUUUUGGUUUUUAUGACAUUAAACAUGAAUUGAACUUGGU
rnacentral:lncRNA from 1 species